rnacentral:rRNA from 1 species
UACGGAGGGAGCUAGCGUUGUUCGGAAUUACUGGGCGUAAAGCGCACGUAGGCGGCUUUGUAAGUUAGAGGUGAUAGCCUGGAGCUCAACUCCAGAAUUGCCUUUAAGACUGCAUCGCUUGAAUCCAGGAGAGGUGAGUGGAAUUCCGAGUGUAGAGGUGAAAUUCGUAGAUAUUCGGAAGAACACCAGUGGCGAAGGCGUCUCACNUGGACUGGUAUUGACGCUGAGGUGCGAAAGCGUGGGGAGCAAACAGGAUUAGAUA